rnacentral:rRNA from 1 species
UACGGAGGAUCCGAGCGUUAUCCGGAUUUAUUGGGUUUAAAGGGAGCGUAGGUGGAUUGUUAAGUCAGUUGUGAAAGUUUGCGGCUCAACCGUAAAAUUGCAGUUGAAACUGGCAGUCUUGAGCACAGUAGAGGUGGGCGGAAUUCGUGGUGUAGCGGUGAAAUGCUUAGAUAUCACGAAGAACUCCGAUUGCGAAGGCAGCUCACUAGACUGCAACUGACACUGAUGCUCGAAAGUGUGGGUAUCAAACAGG